rnacentral:rRNA from 1 species
GUUAGGAAUAUUGGACAAUGGGCGCAAGCCUGAUCCAGCCAUGCCGCGUGAGUGAUGAAGGCCUUCGGGUUGUAAAGCUCUUUAGUCCACGAAUAUAAUGACUGUAGUGGAAGAAUAAGCCCCGGCUAACUUCGUGCCAGCAGCCGCGGUAAUACGAAGGGGGCGAGCGUUAUUCGGAAUCACUGGGCGUAAAGCGUGCGUAGGCUGUUUUGUAAGUCAGAAGUGAAAGCCCAGGGCUUAACCCUGGAAUUGCUUUUGAAACUACAAGACUCGAAUUCGGGAGAGGAUAGCGGAAUUGUCAGUGUAGCAGAGAAAUGCGUAGAUAUUGACAGGAACACCAGUGGCGCAAGCGGCUAUCUGGACCGAUAUGGACGCUGAGGCACGAGAGCGUGGGGAGCAAACAGGAUUAGAUACCCGUGUAGUCC